rnacentral:misc_RNA from 1 species
GUGAUUGCCCUAGUGGCUUAAAACUAUAUCCAUUUACACCUGUGAACCGUUUGAUUGACACUCUGUGUUGAUUUUACAAACAAUAUGUAAAGAAAGUCAAGUUAUUAUAACAAAAAAUAACUUUCAACAACGGAUCUCUUGGCUCUCGCAUCGAUGAAGAACGCAGCGAAAUGCGAUAAGUAAUGUGAAUUGCAGAAUUCAGUGAAUCAUCGAAUCUUUGAACGCAACUUGCGCUCUCUGGUAUUCCGGAGAGCAUGCCUGUUUGAGUGUCAUGAAAUCUCAACCAUUAGGGUUUCUUAAUGGCUUGGAUUUGGGUGUUGCCAGUCUCUGGCUCGCCUUAAAGGAGUUAGCGAGUUUAACAAUGUCGUCUGGCGUAAUAAGUUUCGCUGGUAAGACUUGUGAAGUUUGCUUCUAAUCGUCUUCGGACAAUUACUUUGACU